rnacentral:tRNA from 2 species
AGUAAGGUCAGCUAAAAUAAGCUACCAGGCCCAUACCCUGGAAAUGUGGUUUAACAUCCGCCCUUAUUG